UACAGAGGGGGCAAGCGUUAUUCGGAAUUAUUGGGCGUAAAGGGCGCGUAGGCGGCCAUUCAAGUGACGGGUGAAAGCCCUCGGCUUAACCGAGGAACUGCCUGUCAGACUGGAUGGCUUGAGACCGGGAGAGGUGAGUGGAAUUCCCAGUGUAGCGGUGAAAUGCGUAGAUAUUGGGAGGAACACCAGUGGCGAAGGCGGCUCACUGGACCGGAACUGACGCUGAGGCGCGAAAAGCGUGGGGAGCAAACAGG
rnacentral:rRNA from 1 species